ACGAACGCUGGCGGCAGGCUUAACACAUGCAAGUCGAACGCCCCGCAAGGGGAGUGGCAGACGGGUGAGUAACACGUGGGAACGUGCCCUAAGGUUUGGAAUAUUCCCGGGAAACUGGGAGCAAUACCAAAUGUGUCCGCAAGGAGAAAGAUUUAUCGCCUUAUGAUCGGCCCGCGUCAGAUUAGCUAGUUGGUGGGGUAAAAGCCUACCAAGGCGACGAUCUGUAGCUGGUCUGAGAGGACGACCAGCCACACUGGGACUGAGACACGGCCCAGACUCCUACGGGAGGCAGCAGUGGGGAAUCUUGGACAAUGGGCGAAAGCCUGAUCCAGCCAUGCCGCGUGGAUGAUGAAGGCCUUAGGGUUGUAAAAUCCUUUCGUUGGGGACGAUAAUGACGGUACCCAAAGAAGAAGCUCCGGCUAACUUCGU
rnacentral:rRNA from 1 species